rnacentral:rRNA from 2 species
GAGGAAAAGAAACCAACAGGGAUUGCCUUAGUAACGGCGAGUGAAGCGGCAAAAGCUCAAAUUUGAAAUCUGGCACUUUCAGUGUCCGAGUUGUAAUUUGAAGAAGGUAACUUUGGAGUUGGCCCUUGUCUAUGUUCCUUGGAACAGGACGUCACAGAGGGUGAGAAUCCCGUGCGAUGAGGUGUCCAAUUCUAUGUAAAGUGCUUUCGAAGAGUCGAGUUGUUUGGGAAUGCAGCUCUAAGUGGGUGGUAAAUUCCAUCUAAAGCUAAAUAUUGGCGAGAGACCGAUAGCGAACAAGUACAGUGAUGGAAAGAUGAAAAGAACUUUGAAAAGAGAGUGAAAAAGUACGUGAAAUUGUUGAAAGGGAAGGGCUUGAGAUCAGACUCGGUAUUUUGCAAGCCUAUCCUUCGUGGAGAGGUUUAUUAGCAGCUUACCGGGCCAGCAUCGGUUUGGAUGGUAGGAUAAUGGCAUUGGAAUGUGGCUCUUCGGAGUGUUAUAGCCUUUGUUGAUACUGCCUAUCUAGACCGAGGACUGCGUCUUUGACUAGGAUGCUGGCGUAAUGAUCUUAAGCCGCCCGUCUUGAAACCACGGAC